AGAGUUUGAUCCUGGCUCAGAGCGAACGCUGGCGGCAGGCUUAACACGUGCAAGUCGAGCGGGCGUAGCAAUACGUCAGCGGCAGACGGGUGAGUAACGCGUGGGAACGUACCUUUUGGUUCGGAACAACACAGGGAAACUUGUGCUAAUACCGGAUAAGCCCUUACGGGGAAAGAUUUAUCGCCGAAAGAUCGGCCCGCGUCUGAUUAGCUAGUUGGUGAGGUAACGGCUCACAAAGGCGACGAUCGGUAGCUGGUCUGAGAGGAUGAUCAGCCACAUUGGGACUGAGACACGGCCCAAACUCCUACGGGAGGCAGCAGUGGGGAAUAUUGGACAAUGGGCGAAAGCCUGAUCCAGCCAUGCCGCGUGAGUGAUGACGGCCUUAGGGUUGUAAAGCUCUUUCAUCAGGGACGAUAAUGACGGUACCUGAAGAAGAAGCCCCG
rnacentral:rRNA from 1 species